UUUAUUUUUUUUAAUUUCAAUCUAUGGAAGUCGCCUGCCAGUAUUGAUCUUGUAGUACGCUGAUCCUUUUUUGGUUGACCUGUUGAACUCAAUCAAAGAGUAAAAACGAAGGAAACUUUGUUAAUUAAUACUAGCGUUAUUCUUUUAUAUUCCGAGUGAGGAGUGCUAAAUUAAUUGCUUUCACAAAUCAUUCCUGAACUUUCAAUAUUUAGACUUGAAGUAAACAAGUUUCUUGUUUGUUCUUCUACUUGAUCAGGUUCCAGUUGCAGAACUCCAUCUUCUCAGGUCUCAAUCUUUUUUCUUGUACUGUAAUACAUGAACUAGCCAUCAACAUCAAGUACAGUUGACGAUGAUGAUGACGGGUAUUGGAUUCGAUCACAUGCUUAGACGAUGACAGAUAUUAAUGGCUAUAUUUGCAACUGUUGCAGAUGACUUCACAAGCUCAGACGAUGGUAGACGAUAACGAAUUCCUGUUACUACUAUGAUCAAUGUUUCUUCUUUGAUGAUAAUGAUGACAGGUUAGUUGUUGUAAGGUUUGUUUAAAUUUUGAACACAUACAGUACAAUGUUUUGGCUUUUGGUGCACAACUGAUUUUAAUAA